AUAAUAAACAAAAUUCUAGUAAAUACUACUACACUACUUUACUUGAAAAAGGUGUUUAUAGUAUAUCAGGCAAUUAUUGCUGUUUUGGGGCUUCUUCCUAUCCAUGCCUAUAGUGGUCAUAGUAUCCAGACUCAACUUUGGUGAUACGAACGAUUAUAUGGUGCAAAAUAGGACUUUGACCAGUAUGGAUACAAACAAAUGGAAUCAUUAGGAAAAUUGCACAAUCUUUGGACAUCAUGUGUAGUUGGUCUGUGAUAGUAGCAGUCUGUAUUUCCUUCCAGUAUGGAGUAUUAUCCUUUUAUUCAAUGAAAUCAAAAACAACAAGGAUUGGCUAAUAAAUUGGGAUGUUAAUUUUAACCCUAACGAUGACGAUAUGGAUUGUCUGCAUUGGUAUCCUCUCUGAAUUUGGUUUACAUUCCACACAUGUAAACGUUGGAACGUUACUUUCUACAGUUAAUUCAGGACUUUAUACAAACUCUGGAUACCAUUUAUUGUGGAGCAUUGAUUGUAGAAGUUCACCUUUUCUCCAGAAAGCAGCAAUACAUCAAACAACUGUAAAAGUGUCUUUUUACCAUCACACUUGUUCAUUUGUGACAAUGAAUUGUCAAUUAUUAUGAGCGCACACACAAUCAAGAGGUCAAAAUAUGAUUCUUUACAUAAUGCCUCUUGAUGAUGUUAGAUAGUUAAAUGGUCCAUACACGUCAUUAACGAGGGUUGAAGUUUAUCGUAGGAACAUAAAUACUCCAUAUUUAAUGUGUUAUGAAACAUUGGUUGUAUCAGUACUCUUUUACUCUGGAAUGUAUACCUGAAGUAUUGAGAAAGGCGUGAAGGUGCGUUUUUUCCGUUGGGAACGAAGACAGUGUGCGGUAGCAGAAGGAAGGAUUUAUGACAUUGAACUGGAAUUCUGAUAGAGAAAGACGAUGAUACUUAAAUAUGCAUACAAAAACCUGUUAUUUUUAUUUAGAAAAUUGUGAUGAGAGUAUGAAAAUGUAAUGAAGCAGUGAUAGUCAAGGAGAUAGAUGCUUCUUAAACAAAGAAACAAUUGAUUAAGAAUAAAAGCAUCUCAAGUUUCAAGUUUGCCAAUGUAAAUCUGAACUACAAAAAGGAGUAUAAAGACCAGGAUAAAAGAAUACAAAAGCCUAUGUUGCCUAGGACACAGAAAAAUUAUCAGUAACAAAAGAGGAAAAAAAAGUAACAGAAGAUCAACACUUAAUACGUUCAUGUUUUGGCAAAGAACAACCAUUACCAUUCCCGCUUGUACAGAGAAGCCAUUGAAAUAUAUAAACACAAGAAUAAUUUCAAUAAAAAAGGAAGAGGGCACCUUUCAGAACGAUAUAAAUACGAGCACGCUUGUCACCGUUUCGCAUCAGAGAAGACUUCGACAUCGCCCUUGAAAAUGUCCACCACAGUUGUGAAUGAAACGUCGAGAAAACAACCCAACAGACCACGGCCCAUCAGCCGGGACAACAACUCACCUAUAUUCGACACCGGUCGUGAAAACGUACAAUCAACAAUACCUUCAAUUUGUUAGGCAUUUGUAACUUGCUUCAAUAGACAACUUUUAAGAAACGUUUUAGAAAUGGCAAAAGCAAAUUUAAUGUGGAACGGAUCUUUCCAUGAGUAUUGUCUCACAAAUGAGAAGGAAUUGCAGUCAAUUUUGAUGCUACUGAAACAAGCGAUGCUUUUGACGUGUUAACAUUAUGCCGUUAAUUUUUCCUGUAACUAUGGGAGGCAAUCGGGAGUUAAUUUGGAAGCAACUGAAACAAUCAACUGUCUAUAGUUGUUUCCCUCCUAGAUUUGGUUUGCUCAUCACACUGGUAGAGUUUAGAACGUUACCUACUACAAUUAAUUAAGAUUUUCCAGCAAAUGAGGGUGAUAUAACUUCAGUAUGGUCGUAUUGAAACAGUUGAUGUCUACAUGGGUGUUGUUUUUCGUGGACUGUACUCUUGAUUUCCUGUUUUCGUUUUCGCCUUCCAACAUCAUACAGUGAAUUUUUAACCCACGAGUGAGAGCAACUGGAUAUUUGAAUUCCAAUGAAACAACAAAUUGUCUGCAGGGAUAUCCCUUCCAGAUUUGGUUUGCUCAGCACACUGGUAGACUUUAGAACGCUACCUUCUACAAUUAAUUAAGGUUAUACAACAAAUGAGAGAGAAUUAAUGUUCAGUUUGGUCAUACUAAAUCAGCCAAUGUCUACAUAGGUGUGGUCUUUCGUGGAUUAUAUUCCUGAUUAGCUGUUUCGUCUUCACCUUCUAUCAUCAUGCAGUUAAUUUUCAACCCAUGGGUGAAAGCAACUGGAUAUUUAUUUGAAUUCCACUAAAAUAACAACUUAUCUGCUAUGGUGUUCCUCCUGGAGUUAGUUUGCUUUUCACACCUGUAAGCUUUAGAACGUUACGUUCUACAAUUAAUUAAGGUGAGAAUACUUCAUAUAAUAAUUUUAAUUGCUCUUUAUUAAUCUGUUUGCCAACGUAUCUUUUUCAGAUCGAUGUUGGAGAAGACAAAGAUGACCCCGUAGUUGAAAUAGUUCUUUAUCUUGCAUGCUCUAUCUAGUAGAAU
rnacentral:lncRNA from 1 species